AAUGUGUGAACCAGGGGACAGCUGAUUCGGAAUCGAAUGUUAUAUGACUUGCAAAGCUUAGUUAAAGUUACUGAGACAGAUUCCGGGUGGCUGUAAUGCUACUUUGUUGAGCUCUAAACAGUUCAGUGAGGAAGUGUGGCUUCUCCAGUCUGUUUGAAUGAAGCUUUGCCUUGUAGUGCGUAAGUACUGGUAUACACUGCCACGCUACUGAACAGAUCACCAGGUGGAUGUGAUGCUCAGUCUGGGGGCCAAGUGAGAGAUCACAGUCAGUUGGCAGCUAGCUACUGGAUAAGGCUGGUCUGAGCAGCAAGUGAGUGAACAGAGCAAGUGCUGAGGGUAGCAUCCAGUACCUGGAUUAAUAUGGAAAGGCCUCGGAUGUGUGUACGGCUCUAAAAUGGUUCUCUAUUAUUGGGAAAGGCUCUAAAAUUGGUAAUUUUGUCACUAAGAAGAAAGUAAUAGAGCAAAUACAUCCAGAGGAAACCAGGUAGCCACUAUGUACUUGUCACCAAUAUUGCACCAUCACUUCAGCAAAUCUAAGAGGGCAGACAAAUUUCUGUAGUUUGUGGAGAAAGCUACUUUCAUUUCAUCUCUAAAGUUUGUACAUGCAGUGGAUCUGUCAGAAAAAUUCAUAAAGGCAAACAAUCCAAAAUAAUAUAGUGUGUGGCAGACCCAACAGGGCAAAACAUAGCAAACACAAACAGCAGGUGAAGUACACCACUAUUUGGAUUUAUGACAUUAUACAACCAGCCACCCCUUUUUUUUCUGCCAUAACUGUUAAUACAGUGUGCAGGCUAAUCUGUUAGGGUUGCUUCUCUUUCGUUAAUGCGUACAUCCUCAUUGAUGAGAUCUGCACGACAUAAUGAAUGUCCAGCAAUUGUUUUGUGUUCUCUAAAUCACACCAAAACUUUUAGGAAAACUGUAAGUAUCUUUUACCCAUGUGUGGAUAACAGCUUUUAAUACUGUCCUACAUGUCGGUGGUGUGUGAACAUGCUUAGUUGUUUGGUUGGUUCUCUGAAUGAAGGCUGCAGUAUAUUAACAUGUCUCAUCAUGUUGCAUUUCAUGGGAAUAAGUGAUUCUAUGCAAUGUAACACUUGUAAGGGUUCUUGAAUUUGUGGCUAUAGACAAAAUGGUGUUUUAUUGUAAUUGUUUUCUGAAUUCACUGUACUUUUAUAUACAAUUUUAACCCAAUGUUUUAUGAUGAGUAGCAAAAUAGAUGUUGGCUAUCCAGUGUGACAAACAGGUAGUUGUAUGAAUGUACGAAUAACAGCUGUGUCAGUUGGACUCACGCUAGUACUUGUCAAAGUUAUAUGGGAAUGUGUGGUAUAAUUACAUUGAUUCUAUAUGAUUAUAACAGUAUGUAAUCACGGAAUUGGAGUUACGUACAACUGUCAGAUGGCUUUUGUUCAGUGUACUGUUUGUCUGAUUCUUGUACAAUUCGUAUAUACAGCACUGAUUUUGCACUGUUAACCAAAAUCUAGAUCGACACUAAAAAGAUGAUUACGACUGAUGCUGACCAACUUUCUGUCCUGUCUCACAUGUCAGAAGUAAGUUUGGUAGAGAGCGUUUGGAACAAUAAUUCCUGUUACACUAAUGGCAUGUCACAUUCAUGUUUCCACAUCUCGUAGAGUCUCUCGGUGUAGCUGAUGAGAAACUCAAAUUGCCUGUUCUGAGAGUUCACACAGGCUAAUAAAUGCAGCUGUGCCUCAGUGUAGAAAAGGAAUGAGCAUGCACAGACCAAAGUUCCAUAAUGAAGAAGCUGCAGUAGCCAGUCACAUAACUGACGGUGUCUGAAUGGCCAGUUGCUCUGUUACGCUCUACAAGGUUUCAGUGUGAGUUGAUUCUGCUGACGCAAAGUCUGGAAAGAAUGUUGCAGUGACUUCUCUUGAAGGUCAUUCCUGACUCACCUAGUUUGUUGGAUAAAACUGACACACAUUCCAGCACAUGCAACCAGUAAGAUCAUAAUUAGUCUUCAAAAAUAAAAUAUUGGAGCAAAUUAAUCUUUUUAAACAUCACAUAGGAAUACAACCAAAUUGUUUACCAAAAAUUAAAUUAGUUUCCAUAUGUGGAACAACUGUAAAAGAAUUUCAGAAGCAAGCUGAGAAAGAGAUGCAGCUACAUAUUCACAGAAGGAAACCCCUAAGUAUAGUCAAGUAUAGAAAACUCAGAGGCCUGUCCUUCCUGUUGUAAACCUUAGUUGUUUUCAGGUUAUACCUGUGGAGCAUCUUCCCAUGUACAAGUGACCUGUGUGUGUGAUUUGAAUUAGACACAAGGUGUCCAUCAGUUCACUUGUAAAUAGUUCUCUCCCUAGCAUCCACCCACAAUUCAUUGUUAGCGGUUAGCGUUGCUGCCUCUAUGACACGGGGUCCCGGGUUCUGUUCCUGGCCGGGUUGGCGAUUUUCUUUGCCCAGGGACUGGGUGUUUGUGUUAUUUUAUCACCACUACCACCCGUGACAGUGGCUAAUUGGACUGUGUAAAAAUUGGACUCGGGCGCUGAUGACCGUGCAGUUGAGCAUCCCACAAACCAAACAUAAUUGUGAUCACCAUCACCACUCCUUGGUCCCAUUAUGUAAACUUUCAUUUCCAUUCCUCUGUUCCACACAUUAUUGUGCUGGUAGUAGUUGCCUGUAUCAUUCCAUUUGACUGGUUUCUAUAAUCUUACACAUUCAUAUCAGUGUUCGCAUUCACAUCAGUAUGUAAAAUCCUGAAUUCCCAUCAUAGUGAUUUGUGUGGUGACAGUGACACACACGCACACAGCAACACCAUUACAUUUUGUCAGUCACUCCUUGUCCCACACGAAAACCAUGCCGAUCCCAAUGACUUCCACUCAUAACUGACACUUCUCAGUCUUGUCCCUGUUGUCGGUGAAACUUUGCUCAGAGUAUUAAUUUAAAGUUAAUUGGCAAGUGAAAUGUAUGAGUGUCUAAUAUCACCUAACCAGUAUUGGCAGUAGUUCUCUACAGUAAUUUUUAUAUUCAGUAUCAAAACUAAGUUACAAAAGAUAAUAUAAUGGUUACAUAAAAUAGUUAGUUUUGUUUCGGUCAGCACCAAAGAUAAAUGGACGAACACGCAAUAAUUUUGUGGACAGUCUAAUGACACAAAAUUGGAAACUGCCAAAAUACUGUAAUUCAUACCCUGACUGAAACUUCACCAUUGUUGAAUAGCAUUUUUCAUUAACAGAGGUACUCAUCAGGUUCAACAACACUAAUAUUAUUAGGAAGACCAGAAGUCCUGCUGCACCCAGAAAACCAUUUGGGACACUGAUUUUUAAUUGAGAAACAAAAUGAGUGCAAUAAUAUUUCUCACUUAAGCAUUUCCAAAAACAAAUUUCGUAGUAGAACAUUAUCGAAAUACAUAUUUUCACGACAUAUAGGCCUACCACAUUUAGUUUAACGAGCCCUCUGCCAGAAGAAAGAGUAAGAGAGAUGCUGAAAACAAAACUGGGUACUACAUAUCCCCACCUCUAACUUACUGAUAAUCCACUUUAUGACCCUCAAGCCAAGUAAAAGCUAAACCAAAGGUGUAAAGGAGCCAGCUUUACAUUUCUCCUAAUGUGACUGCGGCUAUAUGGAAGUUGAUUUUGUGAAUUAUGUGAGUGAUGCCGUGUGUGUCAGCAGUGCUUAUUGGAUAUUGUUUGGCAUGUAUACACACUUACCUUGACCAUCUGCAGUCAGACUAUGUGUUAAAUUUUAGUAAGAAGAUAUCUGUAUCUGAUUACCAAUUAUGUUACAUAGCUUUUAGGAUUAACAAAUUGUACCAAGUUUGUGACUAAAC